rnacentral:lncRNA from 1 species
AAAGAGACCUCCUUAAUUAUUUUGACGAUCUCCUUAACAACCACCCUUUUUCUAGUGAAGCUGAAACCAACAAAAUAUUACAACGGAAUACUGAAAAAUUACAGUAUGGCACAUAAAUUUCACAUAUCUUUAUACAUAGGACACGAAGAUAAGAAAUAAAAUUAUCUCACAGGUGAAGUGACCAUACCUUGUUUCAAUUGAAUGCAUUGGGCUGCAUUAUUCUCACGAGGCUUCUAAGCAACACAUAUCUGAUGAAGCCACCAAUUUCGUUAAAACACUUUGUAAUGCAGGAAAAGGUAUGACACCUAAAGAUGUGAACAGCGCAAUCAACAGCUAGGGAAUUAAAACUUUCAAUGGUUUUCAUUACUAUACCUCUAAAGAAACACAUUACCAAGGGGCCUCCAAAACAUUGAGAGAGAAGAUUACCUCAACCAAAAUAAUAAAGAGUUUGGUGACAUAAAGCCUUAACUGGUGGAAGGAAGCUCUGUUACUUGAAAGCUGUACCAGAUAAGGUGAAAAAAAAUUAAAAUUAUGAUAGAAACGAAAACAGGCACAUUUUCCAUAUAUGUUAAAUAUAUUUACACAUUGUCUCGGAUAUAACACAUACCUCUACAAUGACAUCUAAAAAUCUGAAAUGCAAUUUUCCAUUCCACUGUAUAGCAUCUGAAAUUAGAUGUUGGAUGAAGUCCAGCGACAUUUGAUAGAAGCGUGCUUGAAAAAAAAUAGUUUAGGUUUUCAUACAUAACCCAGAAUAUUUAAAAUUCCAAGAGAUAAAAGGUAAAAAAGAUCUGAUAUAGCAAACACCUGAACGAAAGAAAAAAUAGUGUUACAUUCAUCAAACACAAAGUCUGAAAUUAAAUACUAAUAACACAAUAGAGUAAAGAACAAGAUGAUUUACGUGCUUCGGCAUAAAGCCUACAGCACGGAGAAGUGUGGAAGAGAUGUUCUUAUUCAGUGUAUCUCAAUGGAGAUCACAUAGUACAAUAUAUAGAGGUACAUGUAAGAGUAUUU